CCAAUAAACCAAUUGGACUUGAUCCAAUUAAGCCCAAACUAAAUCUACUUAAAUCAUAUUUAAUUAGACUUAAUCUCAGUCCAUUGGCUUAAUCAAAUUAAGUCAAUUAGCAAUCUAAUUACUAAUCGAUCCUCCUGCAACACUUGCACUAGGUUAAAUGUCAAUCGUAUUGAUCGUUUAACCCUAGAAUGAUUCUUAAUCGUUGAUCAACCAUCCGAUCGGAUUGUAAACUCUAAUGUGUGUGACCUCAUAGGUCUGAACCUAAGUCAGUAGUAUAAGAAUAAAUUUUUCUACCAAUUGAAGCGACCAUCUAGCAAUGGUACCCGAUGGCCGGA
rnacentral:lncRNA from 1 species